UCAGGGCCGCCAAGGCGGGGGAGGCCGAUCCGAGCAGCACUAACACGUCCUCUUCCUCCUUCAACUCCAAGGUCUCGGAUUUGACGAACAUCCUACCGAAGAGAGAGAGGAAGGGGAAAAAGGCAGUGAGGUGUAAGGAAAGAAACAGAGGCGCGAUCUUCGUGUCACAGGGGCGUGCUCCGGCGCGCACCCGAGAAGACCAGCUCCGAAUGGCGCGGAGCAGGAAGGCGAAGGAAGAAACCCAGGCAGUGCUAACCAAGGGAGGUAACAAGGAGGAUUGGAAGGCACAAAGUAAAGAAAAUGAAAAUUAGAAACUUGUGAAAAGGAGCAUUACCCAUUGCAGUUCUUCAAACUUCAGACUUCCUUCUGUCUUGGAAUUAUUUGAAAACUAUCAUGAUUUCCACUUUGCUCUUUGAUGUUUGUGUUUUCAUAUUCUCCCUUUUUAAAGCAAAUUCCCAAAAUAUAAAAGCAUCAUUUGCCAGUUUCCUCCUCGAUUAUUUUAGAACAGCUAAAUUUCAUGUGUUAGAAGUGCAGAAAUGAAAAUGAAAGAAGAAAAGAGAGACACUUUCAAUGUUUCUAGCACACAGCACCUGCCUCUCACAUAUCUUUGGGUUUCUGUCUAUCAUGAACCUGCAGAAUCAGAACUUCAUAAAAAGUUUGACCAAGCAAAAAUUAUGCUAGAAGUGCUU
rnacentral:antisense_RNA from 1 species